GGAGUCUGGUCCGUGUCUCAGUACCAGUGUGGGGGAUAAGCCUCUCAGCUCCCCUAGACAUCGUCGGCUUGGUGGGCCGUUGCCCCGCCAACUACCUAAUGUCACGCAUGUCCAUCCACUACCACCGAAGCUUUAGUUGUUUCUCCAUGCGAAAAACAACACCAUGGGAUAUUAGUGGAAGUUUCCCUCCGUUAUCCCCCUGUAGUGGGUAGGUUGCAUACGCGUUACGCACCCGUGCGCCGGUCGCCAUCUAUCAAAGCAAGCUUCGAUAAUGCUGCCCCUCGACUUGCAUGUGUUAAGCCUGUAGCUAGCGUUCAUC
rnacentral:rRNA from 1 species